rnacentral:rRNA from 1 species
UACGUAGGGUGCGAGCGUUGUCCGGAAUUACUGGGCGUAAAGAGCUCGUAGGUGGUUUGUCGCGUUGUUCGUGAAAACUCACAGCUUAACUGUGGGCGUGCGGGCGAUACGGGCAGACUGGAGUACUGCAGGGGAGACUGGAAUUCCUGGUGUAGCGGUGGAAUGCGCAGAUAGUCAGGAGGAACACCGGUGGCGAAGGCGGGUCUCUGGGCAGUAACUGACGCUGAGGAGCGAAAGCGUGGGAGCGAACAGG